CUAAACCAUGCACCGAAGCUGCGGCAGCGACACUGUGUGUUGUUGGGUAGGGGAGCGUUCUGUAAGCCUGUGAAGGUGUGUCGUGAGGCAUGCUGGAGGUAUCAGAAGUGCGAAUGCUGACAUAAGUAACGAUAAAGCGGGUGAAAAGCCCGCUCGCCGGAAGACCAAGGGUUCCUGUCCAACGUUAAUCGGGGCAGGGUGAGUCGACCCCUAAGGCGAGGCCGAAAGGCGUAGUCGAUGGGAAACGGGUUAAUAUUCCCGUACUUGGUGUUACUGCGAAGGGGGGACGGAGAAGGCUAUGUUGGCCGGGCGACGGUUGUCCCGGUUUAAGCGUGUAGGUGUGUGUUCCAGGUAAAUCCGGUUCACUUUAACACUGAGGCGUGACGACGAGGCACUACGGUGCUGAAGCAACAAAUGCCCUGCUUCCAGGAAAAGCCUCUAAGCAUCAGGUAACAUCAAAUCGUACCCCAAACCGACACAGGUGGUCAGGUAGAGAAUACCAAGGCGCUUGAGAGAACUCGGGUGAAGGAACUAGGCAAAAUGGUGCCGUAACUUCGGGAGAAGGCACGCUGACACGUAGGUGAAGUGAUUUACUCAUGGAGCUGAAGUCAGUCGAAGAUACCAGCUGGCUGCAACUGUUUAUUAAAAACACAGCACUGUGCAAACACGAAAGUGGACGUAUACGGUGUGACGCCUGCCCGGUGCCGGAAGGUUAAUUGAUGGGGUCAGCGCAAGCGAAGCUCCUGAUCGAAGCCCCGGUAAACGGCGGCCGUAACUAUAACGGUCCUAAGGUAGCGAAAUUCCUUGUCGGGUAAGUUCCGACCUGCACGAAUGGCGUAAUGAUGGCCAGGCUGUCUCCACCCGAGACUCAGUGAAAUUGAACUCGCUGUGAAGAUGCAGUGUACCCGCGGCAAGACGGAAAGACCCCGUGAACCUUUACUAUAGCUUGACACUGAACAUUGAGCCUUGAUGUGUAGGAUAGGUGGGAGGCUUUGAAGUGUGGACGCCAGUCUGCAUGGAGCCGACCUUGAAAUACCACCCUUUAAUGUUUGAUGUUCUAACGUGGACCCGUUACCCGGGUUGCGGACAGUGUCUGGUGGGUAGUUUGACUGGGGCGGUCUCCUCCUAAAGAGUAACGGAGGAGCACGAAGGUUGGCUAAUCCUGGUCGGACAUCAGGAGGUUAGUGCAAUGGCAUAAGCCAGCUUGACUGCGAGCGUGACGGCGCGAGCAGGUGCGAAAGCAGGUCAUAGUGAUCCGGUGGUUCUGAAUGGAAGGGCCAUCGCUCAACGGAUAAAAGGUACUCCGGGGAUAACAGGCUGAUACCGCCCAAGAGUUCAUAUCGACGGCGGUGUUUGGCACCUCGAUGUCGGCUCAUCACAUCCUGGGGCUGAAGUAGGUCCCAAGGGUAUGGCUGUUCGCCAUUUAAAGUGGUACGCGAGCUGGGUUUAGAACGUCGUGAGACAGUUCGGUCCCUAUCUGCCGUGGGCGCUGGAGAACUGAGGGGGGCUGCUCCUAGUACGAGAGGACCGGAGUGGACGCAUCACUGGUGUUCGGGUUGUCAUGCCAAUGGCACUGCCCGGUAGCUAAAUGCGGAAGAGAUAAGUGCUGAAAGCAUCUAAGCACGAAACUUGCCCCGA
rnacentral:rRNA from 2 species